AGUCGGGUUGUUUGAGAAUGCAGCCCAAAGUGGGUGGUAAACUCCAUCCAAGGCUAAAUACAAGCACGAGUCCGAUAGCAAACAAGUACCGUGAGGGAAAGUUGAAAAGUACUUUGAAGAGAGAGUAAACAGUACGUGAAACCGCAUGCAGGUAAACGGGUGGCGUCAAGCUGCAAUCCUGGAGAAUUCAGCCGGCUAGUGUGUCGUGAAUGCGCCUGUGCAUCAUCAGUCGGUGUAAGAUGUGAUAGUCUACCGGGCAACGGUAGGCCGGGCCGCAAGGUUCGGUUAUGUGUACCGGGUGGAAGCCGGAGCAUGCUAUUCAUCUGUUGGACUGGCUAGCCGGUGCACUUUCUCUAUGGUGAACACCACGAUCGGUGGAAUUGCCAGUCUGCUGUAGUCAAGUCGUAUUCGAUGGGUUCUUGUAAUUCAUUGGGUGCGAUCACAGGCAAUGUCAGUACACGGCGUAGAGGUGUCUCGGCAUCUCUGCGUGUUAUCGGUUACUGCUUGUCAACGGGCCUGCCUAGUGGUUGUUGUAAUCGCCGCUGGGUGGCUUGGUGGACUACAGUGGUAAGAAUAACUGUGCAAGGCACCGGGGAUGUCGGCCUCAAUUGCACUCUGCAUACACAUUACAAGUGGUGUGGGGUGCCAUCGCUGCCUGCUUACUGUUGAGUCUGAUUGUCGUGUUGCCUGCACAAAGUAGGUCCGGCAGUGGCUUGAUGUAAGGUGGGUAGUUGGUGGUGCUUCGCGUGCAGGGUGUUGUGGGCCAAGUAAUCAGUGGUGCAGUGGUAGACGAGCUACCCGACCCGUCUUGAAACACGGACCAAGGAGUUCAACAUGUAUGCGAGUCAAUGGGUCCUACGAAACCCAAAGGCGCAGUGAAAGUAAAGCUUCGACUUGUUCUCGGAGUGAGGUGAGAUCCUGCCGUACUCGCAUCAGCCUAUCAGGCUAAGAGCGGUGGGCGCAUCACCGGCCCGUCCCAUGAUGUGGCCGCUGGC
rnacentral:rRNA from 1 species